UGGGGGAUAUUGCACAAUGGGCGAAAGCCUGAUGCAGCGACGCCGCGUGGGGGAUGAAGGCCUUCGGGUUGUAAACUUCUUUUGCUCUGAACAAGGCAUGCCUUUGGGGUGUGUUGAGCGUAGGGGUUGAUUAGCGCCGGCUAACUACGUGCCAGCAGCCGCGGUAAUACGUAGGGCGCGAGCGUUGUCCGGAAUUAUUGGGCGUAAAGGGCUUGUAGGUGGCUGGUUGCGUCUGUCGUGAAAGCUCAUGGCUUAACUGUGGGUUUGCGGUGAGUACGGGCUGGCUUGAGUGCAGUAGGGGAGGCUGGAAUUCCUGGUGUAGCGGUGGAAUGCGCAGAUAUCAGGAGGAAUACCGGUGGCGAAGGCGGGUCUCUGGGCUGUUACUGACGCUGAGGAGCGAAAGCGUGGGGAGCGAACAGG
rnacentral:rRNA from 1 species